UACGUAGGGUGCGAGCGUUGUCCGGAAUUACUGGGCGUAAAGAGCUCGUAGGUGGUUUGUCGCGUUGUUCGUGAAAACCGGGGGCUUAACCCUCGGCGUGCGGGCGAUACGGGCAGGCUAGAGUUCGGUAGGGGAGACUGGAAUUCCUGGUGUAGCGGUGAAAUGCGCAGAUAUCAGGAGGAACACCGGUGGCGAAGGCGGGUCUCUGGGCAGUAACUGACGCUGAGGAGCGAAAGCGUGGGGAGCGAACAGG
rnacentral:rRNA from 1 species